GCCCUGACCUUGCAGCACUGGCAGAGGAGACAAGCCCUGGAUUCCGAAGUCUUCUCAGUCAGGGUUCAACACUGAACACAGGACACCCACCAUGGACUUAAGGCUCAUAUUGGUUUCCUUUGUUCUUAUUUUAAAAGGUGUCCAGUGUGAGGUGCAAUUGCUGGAGUCUGGGGGAGGCUUAGUGCAGCCUGGAAAGUCCCUGAAACUCUCCUGCGCAGCCUCUGGAUUCUCCAUCAGUAGCUACUGGAUGAAUUGGGUCCGCCAGUCUCCAGGGAAGGGACUGGAGUGGGUCGCAUCCAUUAAUAGUGGUGGUAGCACCUACUAUACUGACGCUGUGAAGGGCCGGUUCACAAUCUCCAGAGACAAUGCCAAGAACACUCUGUACCUGGAAAUGAGCAGUCUGAAGUCUGAGGACACAGCCAUGUAUUACUGUGCAGGAGACACAGUGAGUGAAUGUUACUGUGAGCUCAGACAAAAACACCGCUGUGGCGAACACAGGACCAGCAGGGGGCGCUGAGAGCACUUAGAGAUCUGGGGCACAGAAGAGCUUCUUUAGAGAAGCAUGGAAGACUGGACUUCUCUGUGUCUGCACUGCCUCUCCAUAUCACACUUAGAGAUUUUCUCCACAGGAAUAGUGUGUAGUACUCCUUGAAUGUCCAAAUGAUUAUUCAAAUAUCUGUUUCCAGUUGUGUUGUGUUUAUUAAAGAGUUUUUCCUUGUU